GUACCCUGCAAACAGGGCCACCACCGCCAAGGCCACCGGGAUGGGGGGCCCCAUCCAAGAAAUUAGGUUUUCUAACCCUACAAUUCAAGAUCUGGAUUCUCUGGCCUAAUUUCCUUAUGCGUGCUACCUGUUGCUCUGCCACUCCAUCUCCAGCUCGCCGGCCACCUUCUCGGAGCACUCCAAUUCGUCGGCGGUCGGCCUCACCCUGCCAGCCUCCCUCUCAGUUCGCCAGCGAAGGCGGAGUUACAGCUCUCUCGACGCACGCACGCACCGGUCGCCGCUGCGCCGCACCAUUUUGAUUUUGUUAGAUAAAUUGUUGAUUUCAGCCAUUUUUGAGAGAUUGAGUUUGUUAGAUUCAGUCAUUUCAGCCAUUAAAUUUGUUGAUUUCGGCCAUUGAUUUGGCAGCCAUUUUGUUAGAUUAGAUUAUGGUUUUUGAUUGAGUUUGUUAGAUUCAGCCAUUUCAGAUUGGAUUUAUCGAAAUUUUAUGGUUUUUGAAUUG